GCACUUACUCAUAGGCUGAGUUUUGGGUCAGAUACAACAUAUUGAUGGGACUCCAAUCUUUUCCUUUACCUCUAACCUUUGCCAUUAGCUGAAGGGGCCGCUGAAAAAUGUCUGGACCUCCAAGGGGACGUGAAUUGAUAAAGUCCAACAGACACAGCCGGAGGGUUUUUUUAACUCCAGGAUCUCCUUAUAGUGACAGUAGAAUAUUACAGUAACUUGUAUAGUAGUGACAUUAUUUUGGCUCUUGUGUUUCAUUCCAAUAAUUGUGUUUCCUCCAGUCGUGUCUUGUUGGGAUCGUCAUUCCCGACCCUGAAGUCCUUCCAGACUUUGCAGCUAAACUUGGCUUGAAAGGAUCAUAUAAUGAUCUGUGUGACAAUAAGGCAGUGAAGGCGGCCAUUCUACAGGACAUGAUUAAAUUGGGGAAACAAGCAGGACUGAAGUCAUUUGAGCAGGUGAAGGAUGUCCAUGUGCAUUCGGAAAUGAUGACGGUUGAAAACGGUUUCUUGACUCCAACCCUGAAAGCCAAGAGAGCCGAGGUGGCCAAGAACUUCCAGAGUCACAUUGACAAUCUGUACCAGAGCCUCAAUGAGUGACGCUGCCCCCUGCUGGUCGGAUUGUGAUUUCUUAUGGAAGUUCAUUGCUCAGUGUUUCCAUGGGAGGUUCCAGUGGAUCAGUCACCCUGACAACCUCUAAAGACAUUUGUGUAACUAUGG